UUAAGUAAGGAAGGGCGUACGGCGAAUGCCUGGCCACUCGAAACUGAAGAAGGACGCGCCAAACUGCGAAAAGCUCCGUGAAGCUGUAAGGAAGCGAAGAAGCGGAGGUGUCCGAAUGGGGGAACCCGGCAGCAGACAUGAGCUGUCAUCUGCAGGUGAAUACAUGGCCUGCAAGAGAGGUACCCGGCGAACUGAAACAUCUAAGUAGCCGGAGGAAAAGAAAACAACAGUGAUUCCCUGAGUAGCGGCGAGCGAAAGGGGAGAAGCCCAAACCGGUCCGAGGACCGGGGUUGAAGGACCAUGAUAUGGCAAGAACGAGGAUAGGAGAACGGGAUCGAAAGCCCGGCCGAAGAAGGUGAAAGCCCUGUAACCGAAAUCCGAGUAAAGCCUAAUGGGAUCCUGAGUACGGCGAGACACGAGGAAUCUUGUCGGAAGCAGGCGGGACCAUCCGCCAAGGCUAAAUAUAAACGAGUGAGCGAUAGUGAACCAGUACCGUGAGGGAAAGGUGAAAAGAACCGCGGGAGCGGAGUGAAAGAGAACCUGAAACCGUAUGCCUACAAGAAGUCAGAGCCCGUUAAGGGGUGAUGGCGUGCCUUUUGUAGAAUGAACCGGCGAGUUGCGACAGACUGCGAGGUUAAGGAGGAAAGACCGGAGCCGAAGCGAAAGCGAGUCUUAAUAGGGCGAAAGUAGGAUGUUGCAGACCCGAAACCGGGUGAUCUAGCCAUGAGCAGGUUGAAGUUGAGGUGAAACUCAAUGGAGGACCGAACCGACUACCGUUGAAAAGUUAGCGGAUGACUUGUGGCUAGGGGAGAAAUUCCAAUCGAACCCGGAGAUAGCUGGUUCUCCCCGAAAUAGCUUUAGGGCUAGCGUCGGAAAGAACCUUAGUGAAGGUAGAGCACUGAAUGUGUGAUGGCCCCAUCCCGGGGUACUGAAUACAAUCAAACUGCGAAUGUCAUUAAGGAUGUCCGGCAGUCAGACUGUGAGUGAUAAGGUCCAUGGUCAAGAGGGAAACAGCCCAGACCGCCAGUUAAGGUCCCAAAAUACAGGCUAAGUGGAAAAGGAUGUGGGGAUGCCCAGACAACUAGGAGGUUGGCUCAGAAGCAGCCAUCCUUUAAAGAGUGCGUAACAGCUCACUAGUCGAGUGACCCUGCGCCGAAAAUGUACCGGGGCUAAGCCUGAUACCGAAACUGCGGAUUGUAGGAAACUAUAGUGGUAGGGGAGCGUUGUAUACGAGCAGAAGCCGUACCGUGAGGAGCGGUGGAUUGUAUAGAAGUGAGAAUGCCGGUGUGAGUAGCGAGAUGUAGGUGAGAAUCCUACACACCGAAAGCCCAAGGAUUCCAGGGGAAGGUUCGUCCGCCCUGGGUAAGUCGGGACCUAACGCGAGGCCGAAAGGCGUAGUGGAUGGAAAGCAGGCGAAAGAUUCCUGCACCCGUAUAUGGAGCGAAGGAGUGACGGAGACGGAUAGUGUGACCCUCUUAAUGGAUUGAGGGCGAAGCGAAGCGGCUGGUUACCAGGCAAAUCCGGUAACCGAAAAGGCUAGAGCGUGACAGGUAAGCGAAAUCUUAGGAAAGUAGCGAAGCACAUGAUGACGGCUUCCAGGAAAAGCUUCUGGCAAUGCAUAUGCGGCCCGUACCAAAACCGACACAGGUGGGCAGGGAGAGAAUCCCGAGGUGAGCGAGAGAACUGUUGCCAAGGAACUCGGCAAAAUGACUCCGUAAGUUAGCGAGAAGGAGUGCUUAAGCAAUUAAGCCGCAGUGAAGAGGCCCAAGCGACUGUUUAACUAAAACACAGCUCUCUGCGAAGUCGCAAGACGAAGUAUAGGGGGUGACACCUGCCCGGUGCUGGAAGGUUAAGAGGAUCUGUUAAGAGCGAUCUGAAGCAGUGAUCCGAAGCCCCAGUGAACGGCGGCCGUAACUAUAACGGUCCUAAGGUAGCGAAAUUCCUUGUCAGGUAAG
rnacentral:rRNA from 1 species